rfam:Exiguobacterium sibiricum 255-15, complete genome.
GAAGACCGCAAGGGGUGUCGCGUCAAGCGGCUGAGAGAAGUGAUUGGACUUUAACCCUUCGAACCUGUUCCGUUCAGACGGACGUAGGGAUGUGGCGCACGCAGGCA